rnacentral:rRNA from 1 species
UACGUAGGGUGCAGGCGUUAAUCGGAAUUCCUGGGCGUAAAGCGUGCGCAGGCGGUCUUUUAAGUCAGAUGUGAAAUCCCCGGGCUUAACCUGGGAACUGCGUUUGAAACUGGAAGGCUAGAGUGUGGCAGAGGGGGGUGGAAUUCCACGUGUAGCAGUGAAAUGCGUAGAUAUGUGGAGGAACACCGAUGGCGAAGGCAGCCCCCUGGGCUAACACUGACGCUCAUGCACGAAAGCGUGGGGAGCAAACAGG